GAACUGCGGCCCCGGGGGGGAGGGGCGGACACCAGGCCCCUCCGGUGUGCCCGGCACCCUGCUCCCGCCCCGCCCGGCCCUCCGCCGCGGUCAGCCCACGCAGUCCUCCUCCCCGGCCCGGGGCCGCCCCACCCAGGACAGCGGGCGCCGCUGUCAGCGCCCCACGUGCCGCCCGGCCCCACGGCCACGCGUCCCCGGCCCGGCGAGGCGCGCCCUCGACCCCAUCCCAGGAGACCUGCCUUGCUAUUGACUCAGAGUCACAAGAAGAAGAAAACACAAUGUGUCCGAAAUAAAGUGCCUAAAGUGACUUCUGACUCAAGAUUUGCUCUCCCCAACCUACUCCUAAGAAAGUGUCAACACAAGCAGCUGACUCAGAUGGUGACCCACACUGUCCUUCUUCAACCCUUGUCAUCAGAUACCAGACUUCAAGAGGAAUCACCCGGAGGGCACUGGGUGAUCACUCUGAUAGGUUGUUACAUGAUACUGAGCAGAGUUCCUGGUGCUAAAAGCUGGUCCCAAGAUGGCUGCAGGACUCCAGAUGAGAGUUCCAGAUGAGACGUCCAGAGAAGCAAGAGAGAGCAUCUCAUCCUGCAGCCCUCUUCUAGGAAUGAGGACACUUUUCCCAGAAGCCCUCUAUGAGGGUCCCCACACGUUUCUACAGACCCCUUGCUGAGAAAGGUCUGGUACAGAAUGCAAGUUAAAGAAAAUCCAACUCAAGCUGGCUUAAACAAUACGAAGGAUUUCUUGGUUCCUGUGACUGAAGGAGUCUGGAGGUUGGAUGGACUUUGAGUACUGUUUCAUCAGUGCUCUGAAACUGUUCCUCUGAGUCACUUCGUCCUAGAAUAAUGGGAAGGUCAUGGACCUCACAUCUGUUUAGAAGAAACAAGACUGUUCUUUCUUCAUGCCUUGCUCUUAAGAGUGAGGAUAUGCUUUAUGAAAAGAUGCUAAACAACAUUCAGCAUUACAGAAACGCAAAUUAAAACCACGAGAUACCACUACAUAUCUACCAGGAUGGCUAUAAUCAAAAAGACGGAAUUAACAAAUGGUGAGGGUGUGGAGAAACAGGAACGCUCAUACGUUUCUGGUAGGAAUGUAGAAUGGUGCAGCCACUUUAGAAAACAGUUUGGCAGUUUAUUAAAAACGUCAACAUAAAUGUACCAUAUGAUCAAUCAAUUUCCUAGGUAUUUAUAAUUGAGAGAAGUAAAAACAUAUGUCCCCAUAAAGACUUGUACAAGAAUGUUCACAGCAGCAUUACUCAUAAUAGCCAGAAAAUCAAAACAACCCAUCAACUGAUGAAUGGAUAAACAAAAUGUGGUAUAUCCUUAUGAUGAAAUAUUAUUUGGUCAUAAAAAGGAGUGAAGUACUGAUAACUGCUACAAUGUGGAUAAACUUUAAAAAUAUGCUAAGUAAAAGAAGUCAGUCACAAAAGACCAUGCAUUGUAUGAUUCUAUUUGUAUGAAAUGUUCAGGAGAGGCAAAUCCAUAGAGACAGAACAUAGAUUAGUGGUUGCCUGGGGCUUGGAGUGGGACUGGAGUUGACUAUAAAUGAGCAUGAGGGGUCUUAUUGGGGUGAUGAAAAUGUUCUAAAACUGUAUUGUGGUGAUUGUUGCACAGCUAAGUAAAUUUACUAAAAAUCAUUCAAUUGUGUGCUUGAAAUGGUUCAUAGUAUGUUAGGGAAAAAAAGAGAGAGAAUGUUUUCCCAAUGCCCCUAGCAAACCACUUCUUGGGAUUCAUUGGCCCAAGCUGCGGCUUGGGGAAUGGCAUGUACUUACUGGUCUGGGCCUUGGUUCUGGAAAGGGAAAGCCCAUCCCUAGAGCUGGGGCUGUGGUCAGCUCUUCUGAAGCACUGGGGAUGUGGGUAGAGAGAUCACUACCUAGACAAAAAUCAGGGUAUCGCAAGGAAGGUAGAAAUGAAAGCUGAGUGGGCAGCCACUAAGGUGUCAACCACACCCAGGACUGGCUGCUUAAUACAGCAGCCCUACCGCUGCAUUCUCUGAUCUGUUACCCACAUUUGGCCUCUGAGUUCUCUGCCCAGUAUGGCAAAGGGAAGGAGGGGUCAUGGGAAGAAUGACUUCUUGAGAACAUGGAACCUCAGCUAGCGUGACCAACUGACCUGGUUUCCUUGGGAUGGAGUGGUUUCCUGGGAUGCAGGACUCAAGGUAAUAACACUGGGGAAGUCCCAGGCAAACCAGGAGAAGCUGGUCACCCGAUGACCUCACCAAAUAGAAAUAUAGAAUCAGUCCUAAUGAAUUGGUGGGUCUUGGCAUCAGUGGCUUCUAACACCACAGAAAGACAGUCAGUCAUUGUGUGCCUGUGAUAAACACACACUCAGCACCAUUUCUGAAAUAAUUUUUUGGCAAAAAACUUGAACCUAAAUAUACAGAAGGCUGUAGAUCUAACGCUCAGUUAAUAGGAAAUACAGAGGACCAUGGGGGAUAUGAAAUGACUCCAUGUAGGCACUCUAUAGGACAAAUGACAGAUGACCCAAUUCUUCAACAAGUAAAUUGGAAGGGGCGAAAAAAAAGAGAUGGAGGGAGGACCUGUAGAUUAAAAGACACUUAAGAAGCAUAUCAACCAGUUGCAAUGUGCGGAUCUUAUUUGGAUCCUGAUUUGAAGAAACUAAGAGAGAGAGAAUGUGUGUGUGUCAGGAAUGUCUAAUAAGACUUUGAUGAUAUUAAGAAAUUAUAGGUAUGUAUAAAAUAGAUAAACAACAAGGAUUUACUGUAUAGCACAGCGAACUAUAUUCAACAUCUUGUAAUAACCUAUAAUGGAAAAGAAUUGUGAAAAAAUUUAUAACUGAAUCACUUUGUACACCUGAAACUAACACAAUAUUGUAAA